rnacentral:rRNA from 1 species
UGGGGAAUAUUGGACAAUGGGCGAAAGCCUGAUCCAGCCAUGCCGCGUGUGUGAAGAAGGUCUUCGGAUUGUAAAGCACUUUAAGUUGGGAGGAAGGGCAGUAAGCGAAUACCUUGCUGUUUUGACGUUACCGACAGAAUAAGCACCGGCUAACUCUGUGCCAGCAGCCGCGGUAAUACAGAGGGUGCAAGCGUUAAUCGGAAUUACUGGGCGUAAAGCGCGCGUAGGUGGUUCGUUAAGUUGAAUGUGAAAGCCCCGGGCUCAACCUGGGAACUGCAUCCAAAACUGGCGAGCUAGAGUAGGGCAGAGGGUGGUGGAAUUUCCUGUGUAGCGGUGAAAUGCGUAGAGAUCUGGAGGAAUACCGAUGGCGAAGGCAGCCAUCUGGCCUAUCACUGACGCUGAGGUACGAAAGCAUGGGGAGCAAACAGG